rnacentral:misc_RNA from 1 species
UUAUUUAAAGGCAAGCUCGGUAUCUGGAACCUAGGAUGAAGGAGGAAUCUCUUCAUCUUCUCAACCAGUACUUCAAGGCAUCCAGGGCAGCCAGAGACUCAUCUUUGGACAGUAUUGGAUUCCCAAGGUGUGCUCUGCAGACUCUUCUAGUAGUUGCUGAGAGUAUAUCUAAACUAAACCUUGAACCAGAGAUAUCUUACAACCAUUCAGUAAUGUCCUGUUAUAUCUACGAGGAGAUUAUCUCAUCCCUGUCUGGAUACUCAUUCCUCGGAGUAAAUCCGUCCCAGCACUCGGAGACGGGGAGUUUAGAAUCCGUCCUAGGCAAACAAAAUGAUUUGAGAAUGAAGGAGUUUGAAACUCAGUUAAAAAUGUUCUUCCAAACCUAUCUUGUGAACACUUGGGAGGAAUAAAUAUGAGAUUAGACUAGAAUGAUAAACCAAACCAUUGGUCUGGAUUCACUGGAUUGAGUAAAUUAUUAUUUCUCGGCAUAAAAAAAUUAAAGAAUGUAAAAAUAUAUCACAGAAAUUAAUAACUAUGAACUAUUUUAAUAUAUUUUUAUUCGUAACUUUAACAAAUUUUAAUUAAAAUAAAUUAAACAAGCAACGUCUCUCAUUAAGGACCUUUUAGGAUUGAAUUACGCAUUAUUUGUAAAUGUCGUCUUCAUUUUAUCCUUAUUUAAUCCAAUUCCAAUCCAAACCAAACAUAUUAUUCGGCGAGGAAAAGAAGGAAGGAUCCAGCAAAAUUUAAUUGAUUCGAGCUGUUUUACUUUCUACGUAAUUGACUUCAUUGACAAUUCUGCUAGGUUAAAUAUAUCCAUAGCAUAUUUAUGAAUUUUUUCAAUUAUUUAUUCGCAAUAUAGUAGAUGUUAACAAGAUAUUAUCUUAAGAUAGUAAAAGUGUCCCGGUUUGGAUAGUCUUUAUGAGAUAUUUUUAACUAUUUAAAAUAUUUCAGAGAAAAUAAUGAUGGGGAACCCUGAUCCUGAUCCCCCGGAGUCCGGAGCAGGAAGAUUAAAUCCGGACCCUUCCUCCGCACCAUAUGGCGGAGCCCGUCCUAAGGUUAACGUGAAGCCCAAGGAGAAAAGUAACGGAUCCAGGAAAAGUCCUAAAACCGGAGAAUCCUAUGUUAAAGAUUACACUAGUAAACACGGAAGUCCUGUGUAUAAAAGAACUCGUGGAUUGGAUAGAACUAGUUCAAGUGAUAACGUUAUGUUUAUAAAUCAGGACGCUAAUCUAGAUAAUUUUCCUAAACUUUACAAUAGUAGGGAGAGAAACUCUGUUGAGGAUUGGGAUCAAAGAUCGGAUUCUCGAGAUUGGAUUGGUCGGAGUACAACAGAAUCCUCAGGAUGGGAGCAAUCCCCUUUAGAAUCUAGAGAUAUCCCAAUCCUCUCUACUCAACCUAUACACAGCAAUACAAGCAGUUUACCCAGUAUAUCUAAUUCUAGUGUAUCAAUGAGUGCUAAAUUUGAUGAUUUAGAGUUUGAAUCUUUGGAUAAUCUUGAACCUAUCGAGGAUGAUUGUUAUAUAUAUACAUACAAGGGUGGGACAGCAUAUCUAUCUGCCGAUCUUCCGACUAGUUUCUUUCGUCUGGACAGUGGUAGCGACGGAGAAUCACUUCCAGGAGUAUCAGGAGCUGGUCAAUCCAACCUAUCUACUGGAGUAGCUGCUCUGCUCCAGGACCAGCUGUUAAACCUGCCGGUCAGACCUGACUCCCCGGAGGAGCAGGACUUCCUUGAACUUGACUUUGACCCCGGUUCAGAUGAUAGUGAGAGAAGUAGUGAUAGUGGACAAGGACCCGAGGAAGAGUUAGUUUCUAAGAACGCUCUUAUUCGUGCUCCUCUUCUUCCAAACCUUGCUCCACUUCCUUCCCAUCCUAGUCUUGUUCCCUUACCUUCUCGUAGUCCUCCUAGACUGUUACCUGAAGCUACAUUUAGUUCUCUUAGUGAAACAAUAUCUCCGAAACGUACGAGUUCUCGUCGGACUAGUCAGAGUAGUUUAAGAGAGUGCACGGGAAGAGGAUCCGAAUCUCCGGAUCCUUCUCCCUCUCAACCAUUCUUACUCACUACUUCCAAAGAAAUCAAAACAAGAUCUUUACAGCCUAGAGAAGUAAACUUUCAAAAUAAUAAUAAUCUUUCUGAUAGUUGGAAACAAAGUUUGGAGACUGUUCCUCCACCGUGUUUAUCUUGCGACAUGGAGAAGGAUGUAGCUCCUCUCCAGAGUUCCAGUUCCUUUCCUCAGCAUCCCGUAACUGCAGUUAGAUCUGUUCCUCUCACUAGUCCCGUGGAUGAUGUUACACUACUCAACGUACCUAGAUCAAAAUCAUUAAACAGCAGCAUAUCCGCCUGUCUAGCAGCUGAUAGUUCAACAGAAGAAGACAAGAUUAUGCUGUGUGGAAACAGAUUAUUACAACGUGAAGCUUUUCUCUUUGGUUCAGAGAACAAAGGUAUCCUUGAAGCCCUGAAUAGUUUAACAAUUAGAGAAAAAUUGAAACGAUCUCAGACCUUCCCACGUGCACUGGUGUGGAGUGAGAAAGAUGCGAUUAAAAACCAUGUUUCUCAGCUCGGAACCUCAGCUUGUGGAGCUACUGCUUUAAUGAACGUGCUUAUUGCUAUGAAUAUAAAUGUUGAACCCGUCGAGGUGUGUAAGGCUGUAAAUACACGUCUCCGACGAUUAAAAAGUGAUCUCCCAGACUAUUUAUUAUCAAGAUCAGAGGCAGGUUGUAAUCAUAGUGAUCUACUGGCGGGUAUGCGACAUAUCUGUGGGGAUAGAAUCAAAGGAAGAUUCUUUCCAAUGCAUGGACUUAAAACUUCUCUAUGUACCUGGAUAGCUACGUGGAUAUCUAGAGGUUGUAUACCAGUUGCAACGCUAAACGUUCAACGUGCUCCUACAGCCCCUGGGAUGCAAAUUGCGGAUGCAUGGCAUCACCAGAUGAUCUGGGGGGUUAUUGGUAGGGAUAUCUUACUAAACAAUCCACUUGAAGUGGUUCCGGAGAGUAUACUGAUACCACAAUUAAAUUCUCCGUCACAAAUCCUUAUUCGGAGAGAGGAUGUUCUAUCCAGGUUCAAUAGUGAUACAGAUCUAACUCCUCUGAUCUCGAGCCUACCAGGAUCCGGGUUUAAUGAGAGAUGGUUAGAGUUCAAUGUUUUGGGUCAGGUUGUGAACCUGCUCCGAGAGGAGAUGUUGCUAAACCAUCCUGAAUCCGAAAGUAUAACGCCAACUUCUCAUCUCCGUAUCCCGGCAAACUACAUCAGUGGAAUAACCUUAUUUUGUGAUAAUCCAGAACCCGAAGUUUUGGCUCUUUUUCAGUCGACAGAAGAUUUUUCUUUGAGUGAUAGAUAGCAGUAAUUUAUUUAGAAGAAAUUAUCUAAUCAAAGAGUGAAGUCAUAUUGAAUCAAACUUUAUAGCCCACACCUCUCCAUACAUCACAAUUAGACAUUUUAAAAAAAUCUGAAACUACUAAACCUUUUUGUUGUUGUAAUUUUUCAAUUUCAUCUGAUCUGAACUUUAACUUGAAAAUCUCGAAGUAAAAUUCAUCACGGGAUUGUAAAAAAAAUUAUAUUAUGGAUUCCAUUUUUCCUCUACUUUAAAUAUCUGGGGCUCUGACUUGAAAUUUAAAUUUUUGUUUUCUCUCAGAUUUUAGAUGCUAGGUAAACCCUGUACGUAAGUCUUUUUUAGAAUCAGAGCUCAACACUUAAACGUUGAUAAAUGUUAAUCCCUGGAUCAAGAACCUUAUUGUAUCUUUUUUUCUUGGAUAUCUCGUGGAUAACUAAAAUUAAGGAAUGAAGCACUUAUUUUCUAAAUUUUAAAGUUACCAUAGUGGAUAUCGAGAUUAUGGUAGAUUAGUGCUUUAAACUACUGAAGUUUCAACCUCCUCAGCUUCAUGUUCUUAUGCGCAGUAAAGAUAAAAAUAACGAUCAAAUUUGUCUGAAAGAAAACUUAUAUGAGGAACAAACAUAUCAAAUAACGCCUUAUAAUUUUUCUUAAAUACCGUAAGCCCUACAUUCUCUUUUGCGUUGUCCAAAGCUAAAAAUGGUUCGAUUUGUUUUUAAAUCCAAUCUGUUUUUGAAACCUUCCACGAUUCUUUUUCAUAUUUAUUUUUAAAGCAUCUCGACUAAAAGAAUAUUUUAAGCUAAACAACUUCCAAUCGGGAUGGGGUCCACUAUUAAUUAGAAAUAUUUUAAGGAUUUUAUAAUUUGUAACUGUUAAAUCUAUGAAAAUGUCUGCAAAGAUUUAUCAAUUAAAGUAUUUUGAGAAUCCUAAAUAUUUGCACAUUUCAUGGAUUUAAAAAGGUUUCAGUGGGUUUAUUCCCCCUUCUCUUUAUCUAGAAUUAAAUAAAAUUAUAUUUUACAUCUCGAAACCAUUGAAGUAGUUCGCGAAAAUGAUUUAAAUGCCGAAAUCUAUUCUGUAGUUAUUUAAAAACCUGCCAUUUCUAUUUAUCUAAACUUUUGAUUACCAUUUAAACGCAAAGGGUUUCUCUGAACUGUAAAUGUUAGUUUUUUACAUUUUACAAAUUCUUAAGUCCUGUCCAAGUAAAAUUCCCCAUCCAAAUUGUAAUGCAUAAAGGAAAUUUUUUUCGAUUUUGUUUUACGUUUACGGCAGCUUAAACUUUGUUAUCUUGAUUUUCUUCGUAUGAUAUUACUCUUCAACUUGACUGCUCACUUUUUGAAGUUUGCCCGGUCCCAGAUUCUCUUGUAUUAAAGAGACUGUCGACGUCAACGUUCUAUCUUGAGAUAUAAAGAAACUAUGUUACUGUCCCAGCGUUCAAUCUUGAGAUAUAAAGAAAUUAUGUUACUGUCCCUUUAAGGUCAGCGUUCUAUCUUGAGAUAUAAAGAAAUAUUUAUUAUAACCAAAAAUCUGAUAACGCUAGUGCACAUAAACGAAAUUUUUCAGUGUAAAAACGAUGGAAGUACGUUUCCAAAUUAGAAUAUCAGAAUUCUAUUUCUACAUUAAACUGUAUUCAACUACAUAUAUCUGUAACCAGCAAUAUUAUUAAAAACCGUGAAA